rnacentral:lncRNA from 10 species
ACCCACGGUACCCGCUGAAGGGACAGUCUUGUGCCGGCCAUCUCAGUGCCCUCCCUUCUUGGCCUUGCUGAUUAGACCCCAAGGGAACCAGGACACAAGGCGGCCAAUCCAGAGAUGUAUCAUGUGCCCUGGCGGAAGACAGAUGAGCUGGCUUAGGAACAUGAAUGAGGAACUCCAGCAAUGAGGAGGGUCUUGCUCUGUCACUCAGGCUGGAGUGCAGUGGCACUAGCAAAGCUCGCUGCAGCCUCAACUUCCUGGGUUCAAGGGAUCCUCCCACCUCAGCCUCCCAAGUAG